rnacentral:rRNA from 1 species
UACGUAGGGAGCAAGCGUUGUCCGGAUUUAUUGGGCGUAAAGAGCGUGUAGGCGGCCAGAUAGGUCCGUUGUGAAAACUCGAGGCUCAACCUCGAGACGCCGAUGGAAACCAUCUGGCUAGAGUCCGGAAGAGGAGAAUGGAAUUCCCGGUGUAGCGGUGAAAUGCGCAGAUAUCGGGAAGAACACCCGUGGCGAAGGCGGUUCUCUGGGACGGUACUGACGCUGAGACGCGAAAGCGUGGGGAGCGAACAGG